CAAAGUGCUGGGAUUACAGGCAUGAGCCACCGUGCCCAGCCCUACUUGAACUUUUUAUGAUUAGAAUGAAUUCAAGUUUUAUUUGUGUGCUUAGAAAAAGGUAAGUGAGGCAGAGAGCAUGUACUCUGUAAGUUUACACGAGAUGGAGAUCCCUUCCAGCUUGGGAUACCUGAAAAGACUUCAUGGACCAAUGAUAGUUGAGCUAGACUUUGAAUGAUAGGGAGGAUUUGAAAGUUCAGGGUACAGAAUGAAUAUAGAAGGCAGGAAAUGGAACAGGAUAGGACAGGGAGAAACCAGUGUGAAUGGAGCUGAGGUCUUAAUCUAGGCCUUGAAAUCAGCCCCAAGCCCAGCUCUACUGUGUACUAACUGUGUAAACUUGAGCCAGAUACUGACUCUCUAAGCCUCAGUUUACUCAUCUGUAAAAUGUAGAUAAUAAUAUCUAGCUCAUAGAUAAAAGAAUAAUAACAUCUCAUAGGGUGGUGGUGGGAAUUAAAUGUUACCAUAUGAAAAGUGUUGAGAACAGUGCUAACAAAGCAAUAGCUGCAUUUUGGACAUGUUGGGUUUACGAUACCAAGCAGCACAUUUAUGUGCCAGGAAAUGUGGAACUGGAGACCAAGAGAGUGGUCAGGGAACCAUGCACACAGACACGGUAAUUACAGCAGCCAUGCUGUUGGAUGGGAUUGUCAAAAAAAGAGUGUGGAGAGAGAAGAGAGAGGGGCUGUAAGAGUUUGGGUAGGUGGCUCAACCUCUCUAAGCCUGUUUUCUCAUCUACAGUGGGGGUGAUAGCAUCUACCACAUGGGCAGUCAUGAAGAUAAAGCACUUAGCACAGUGCCUGUAUGGCAAGAACUUCAUGAAUGGUAGCUAUUGUAUUAUCAUUAUUAUCAUUAAAGGACCAGAAACAAAUUGUAUCAUUGGCGGAAAAGAGAGUUUCAAGGCCAGGCACAGUGGCUCAUGUCUGUAAUCCUAGCACUUUGGGAGGCUGAGGUAGGUGGAUCGCUUGAGCCCAGGAGUUUGAGACUAGCCUAGGCAACAUGGUGAAACCCCAUCUCUACAAAAAAUACAAAAAUUAGCCAGGUAUCCUGGUGGGCGUCUGUAGUCUCAGCUACUCGGGAGACUGAGGUGGGAGGGUCACCUGAUCCCAGGAGGUCAAGGCUGCAGUGAGCAGUGAUCACACCACUGCACUCCAAUGUGGGUGACAGUGAGACCCUGUCUCAAGAAAAAAGUUUCAAGAAGAAAGAAAUGGUUAGCAGGGUCAUAUACUGUUAAGGAAAGGAUGAGAAAAACUAUUGAAUUUAGGGAUUAGGGAUAUUAUCCAAGGUAGGCUAACGGCGAUACCAAACAACCGCCAAAACUCAGUGGCUUAAUAAUAAAAGUUCCUUUCUUUUUUACUUCAUAGUCUAGUGCAGGUUUAGGAAGGGAGGUCUGUUCCGCCCAAUUAUUGGGGACCCAGUCUUGUCCAUUUUGUGACUGUCCUGCUCUAGCUCCUUAGAGUCCUCUACUCCCG
rnacentral:lncRNA from 1 species